GACGAACGCUGGCGGCGUGCUUAACACAUGCCAGUCGAACGGAAAGGCCCUGCUUUUGUGGGGUGCUCGAGUGGCGAACGGGUGAGUAACACGUGAGUAACCUGCCCUUGACUUUGGGAUAACUUCAGGAAACUGGGGCUAAUACCGGAUAGGAGCUCCUGCUGCAUGGUGGGGGUUGGAAAGUUUCGGCGGUUGGGGAUGGACUCGCGGCUUAUCAGCUUGUUGGUGGGGUAGUGGCUUACCAAGGCUUUGACGGGUAGCCGGCCUGAGAGGGUGACCGGCCACAUUCGGACUGAGAUACGGCCCAGACUCCUACGGUAGGCAGCAGUAGGGAAUAUUGCAGAAUGGUCGGAAGACUGAUGCAGCAACGCCGCGUGCGGGAUGACGGCCUUCGGGGUGUAACCCGCUUUGGACUGUGUCGAAGAGUGAGUGACGGUAAUGGGUAAGUAAGCACCGGCUAACUACGUG
rnacentral:rRNA from 1 species